rnacentral:sRNA from 1 species
GGAUUGCCAUGGCGCCGCUGCUGGAGUACGAGCGACAGCUGGUGCUGGAACUGCUCGACACUGACGGGCUAGUAGUGUGCGCCCGCGGGCUCGGCGCGGACCGGCUCCUCUACCACUUUCUCCAGCUGCACUGCCACCCAGCCUGCCUGGUGCUGGUGCUCAACACGCAGCCGGCCGAGGAGGAGUAUUUUAUCAAUCAGCUGAAGAUAGAAGGAGUUGAACACCUCCCUCGCCGUGUAACAAAUGAAAUCACAAGCAACAGUCGCUAUGAAGUUUACACACAAGGUGGUGUUAUAUUUGCGACAAGUAGGAUACUUGUGGUUGACUUCUUGACUGAUAGAAUACCUUCAGAUUUAAUUACUGGCAUCUUGGUGUAUAGAGCCCACAGAAUAAUCGAGUCUUGUCAAGAAGCAUUCAUCUUGCGCCUCUUUCGCCAGAAAAACAAACGUGGUUUUAUUAAAGCUUUCACAGACAAUGCUGUUGCCUUUGAUACUGGUUUUUGUCAUGUGGAAAGAGUGAUGAGAAAUCUUUUUGUGAGGAAACUGUAUCUGUGGCCAAGGUAAAGAACAUUAUGUGACAAAUAAUGAUGAUAUUAUUUGUCAUC